rnacentral:rRNA from 1 species
GGUUAAGCGACUAAGCGUACACGGUGGAUGCCCUGGCAGUCAGAGGCGAUGAAGGACGUGCUAAUCUGCGAUAAGCGUCGGUAAGGUGAUAUGAACCGUUAUAACCGGCGAUUUCCGAAUGGGGAAACCCAGUGUGUUUCGACACACUAUCAUUAACUGAAUCCAUAGGUUAAUGAGGCGAACCGGGGGAACUGAAACAUCUAAGUACCCCGAGGAAAAGAAAUCAACCGAGAUUCCCCCAGUAGCGGCGAGCGAACGGGGAGCAGCCCAGAGCCUGAAUCAGUGUGUGUGUUAGUGGAAGCGUCUGGAAAGGCGCGCGAUACAGGGUGACAGCCCCGUACACAAAAAUGCACAUGCUGUGAGCUCGAUGAGUAGGGCGGGACACGUGGUAUCCUGUCUGAAUAUGGGGGGACCAUCCUCCAAGGCUAAAUACUCCUGACUGACCGAUAGUGAACCAGUACCGUGAGGGAAAGGCGAAAAGAACCCCGGCGAGGGGAGUGAAAAAGAACCUGAAACCGUGUACGUACAAGCAGUGGGAGCACGCUUAGGCGUGUGACUGCGUACCUUUUGUAUAAUGGGUCAGCGACUUAUAUUCUGUAGCAAGGUUAACCGAAUAGGGGAGCCGAAGGGAAACCGAGUCUUAACUGGGCGUUAAGUUGCAGGGUAUAGACCCGAAACCCGGUGAUCUAGCCAUGGGCAGGUUGAAGGUUGGGUAACACUAACUGGAGGACCGAACCGACUAAUGUUGAAAAAUUAGCGGAUGACUUGUGGCUGGGGGUGAAAGGCCAAUCAAACCGGGAGAUAGCUGGUUCUCCCCGAAAGCUAUUUAGGUAGCGCCUCGUGAACUCAUCUCCGGGGGUAGAGCACUGUUUCGGCAAGGGGGUCAUCCCGACUUACCAACCCGAUGCAAACUGCGAAUACCGGAGAAUGUUAUCACGGGAGACACACGGCGGGUGCUAACGUCCGUCGUGAAGAGGGAAACAACCCAGACCGCCAGCUAAGGUCCCAAAGUCAUGGUUAAGUGGGAAACGAUGUGGGAAGGCCCAGACAGCCAGGAUGUUGGCUUAGAAGCAGCCAUCAUUUAAAGAAAGCGUAAUAGCUCACUGGUCGAGUCGGCCUGCGCGGAAGAUGUAACGGGGCUAAACCAUGCACCGAAGCUGCGGCAGCGACGCUUAUGCGUUGUUGGGUAGGGGAGCGUUCUGUAAGCCUGCGAAGGUGUGCUGUGAGGCAUACUGGAGGUAUCAGAAGUGCGAAUGCUGACAUAAGUAACGAUAAAGCGGGUGAAAAGCCCGCUCGCCGGAAGACCAAGGGUUCCUGUCCAACGUUAAUCGGGGCAGGGUGAGUCGACCCCUAAGGCGAGGCCGAAAGGCGUAGUCGAUGGGAAACAGGUUAAUAUUCCUGUACUUGGUGUUACUGCGAAGGGGGGACGGAGAAGGCUAUGUUGGCCGGGCGACGGUUGUCCCGGUUUAAGCGUGUAGGCUGGUUUUCCAGGCAAAUCCGGAAAAUCAAGGCUGAGGCGUGAUGACGAGGCACUACGGUGCUGAAGCAACAAAUGCCCUGCUUCCAGGAAAAGCCUCUAAGCAUCAGGUAACAUCAAAUCGUACCCCAAACCGACACAGGUGGUCAGGUAGAGAAUACCAAGGCGCUUGAGAGAACUCGGGUGAAGGAACUAGGCAAAAUGGUGCCGUAACUUCGGGAGAAGGCACGCUGAUAUGUAGGUGAAGUCCCUCGCGGAUGGAGCUGAAAUCAGUCGAAGAUACCAGCUGGCUGCAACUGUUUAUUAAAAACACAGCACUGUGCAAACACGAAAGUGGACGUAUACGGUGUGACGCCUGCCCGGUGCCGGAAGGUUAAUUGAUGGGGUUAGCCGCAAGGCGAAGCUCUUGAUCGAAGCCCCGGUAAACGGCGGCCGUAACUAUAACGGUCCUAAGGUAGCGAAAUUCCUUGUCGGGUAAGUUCCGACCUGCACGAAUGGCGUAAUGAUGGCCAGGCUGUCUCCACCCGAGACUCAGUGAAAUUGAACUCGCUGUGAAGAUGCAGUGUACCCGCGGCAAGACGGAAAGACCCCGUGAACCUUUACUAUAGCUUGACACUGAACAUUGAGCCUUGAUGUGUAGGAUAGGUGGGAGGCUUUGAAGUGUGGACGCCAGUCUGCAUGGAGCCGACCUUGAAAUACCACCCUUUAAUGUUUGAUGUUCUAACGUUGACCCGUGAUCCGGGUUGCGGACAGUGUCUGGUGGGUAGUUUGACUGGGGCGGUCUCCUCCUAAAGAGUAACGGAGGAGCACGAAGGUUGGCUAAUCCUGGUCGGACAUCAGGAGGUUAGUGCAAUGGCAUAAGCCAGCUUGACUGCGAGCGUGACGGCGCGAGCAGGUGCGAAAGCAGGUCAUAGUGAUCCGGUGGUUCUGAAUGGAAGGGCCAUCGCUCAACGGAUAAAAGGUACUCCGGGGAUAACAGGCUGAUACCGCCCAAGAGUUCAUAUCGACGGCGGUGUUUGGCACCUCGAUGUCGGCUCAUCACAUCCUGGGGCUGAAGUAGGUCCCAAGGGUAUGGCUGUUCGCCAUUUAAAGUGGUACGCGAGCUGGGUUUAGAACGUCGUGAGACAGUUCGGUCCCUAUCUGCCGUGGGCGCUGGAGAACUGAGGGGGGCUGCUCCUAGUACGAGAGGACCGGAGUGGACGCAUCACUGGUGUUCGGGUUGUCAUGCCAAUGGCACUGCCCGGUAGCUAAAUGCGGAAGAGAUAAGUGCUGAAAGCAUCUAAGCACGAAACUUGCCCCGAGAUGAGUUCUCCCUGACUCCUUGAGAGUCCUGAAGGAACGUUGAAGACGACGACGUUGAUAGGCCGGGUGUGUAAGCGCAGCGAUGCGUUGAGCUAACCGGUACUAAUGAACCGUGAGGCUUAACCUU